UCACCUGUUUUAUCAAAAACAUGUCUUAUUGAAAAUAAUUUUAAGUCAAAUCUGCUCAAUGAAUUAUUAAAUAGCUGCAGUAUAAAUAACUGUACAAAGGUAGCAUAAUCAUUUGUUUUCUAAUUAAAAACUUGUAUGAAAGAUUUAAUGAAAUAUAAACUUUCUAAAAUUUAUUAAAUUAAAUUUUUAUUUAAAUAAAAAAAUUUAAAUAAAUUUUAAAGACGAGAAGACCCUAAGAAUUUUUAUUAAAUAAUUUUUAUAAAAAUUAUUUAAUUUUAAUUGGGGAUAUUUUAAAAUUUAAUUAAUUUUUAAUUAAAUUAAACAUAAAUUUUUGAAUAAAUAUAAUUUUUUUUAAAAAAUAAAUAAAAUUACCUUAGGGAUAACAGCAUAAUUUUUUUUUUAAGUUCAAAUUUAUAAAAAAGUUUAUGACCUCGAUGUUGAAUAAGA
rnacentral:rRNA from 1 species